rnacentral:rRNA from 1 species
GCUCGUAGGUGGUUUGUCGCGUUGUUCGUGAAACUCACAGCUUAACUGUGGGCGUGCGGGCGAUACGGGCAGACUGGAGUACUGCAGGGGAGACUGGAAUUCCUGGUGUAGCGGUGGAAUGCGCAGAUAUCAGGAGGAACACCGGUGGCGAAGGCGGGUCUCUGGGCAGUAACUGACGCUGAGGAGCGAAAGCGUGGGGAGCGAACAGGAUUAGAUACCCUGGUAGUCCACGCCGUAAACGGUGGGUACUAGGUGUGGGUUUCCUUCCUUGGGAUCCGUGCCGUAGCUAACGCAUUAAGUACCCCGCCUGGGGAGUACGGCCGCAAGGCUAAAACUCAAAGAAAUUGACGGGGGCCCGCACAAGCGGCGGAGCAUGUGGAUUAAUUCGAUGCAACGCGAAGAACCUUACCUGGGUUUGACAUGCACAGGACGUGCCUAGAGAUAGGUAUUCCCUUGUGGCCUGUGUGCAGGUGGUGCAUGGCUGUCGUCAGCUCGUGUCGUGAGAUGUUGGGUUAAGUCCCGCAACGAGCGCAACCCUUGUCUCAUGUU